rnacentral:rRNA from 1 species
CUGGCGGCAUGCCUAAUACAUGCAAGUCGAACGAGAAAGUCAUUUCGGUGACGAUUAAAGUGGCGCACGGGUGAGUAACGCGUAGAUAAUCUGCCCUUCAGUCUGGGACAACUUUUCGAAAGGAGAGCUAAUACCGGAUAAUAAUGUAUCACACAUGUGUAACAUUUGAAAGCUCCGACGCUGAAGGAGGAGUCUGCGUCCCAUUAGCUAGUUGGUAAGGUAAUGGCUUACCAAGGCGACGAUGGGUAGCGGGUUUGAGAGGACGAUCCGCCACACUGGAACUGAGACACGGUCCAGACUCCUACGGGAGGCAGCAGUAGGGAAUAUUGCACAAUGGAGGCAACUCUGAUGCAGCAAUGUCGCGUGAGUGAAGAAGGCCCUUGGGUCGUAAAGCUCUUUUAUGGGGGAAGAUGAUGACGGUACCCCAAGAAUAAGCACCGGCUAACUACGUGCCAGCAGCCGCGGUAAUACGUAGGGUGCGAGCGUUGUUCGGAAUUACUGGGCGUAAAGGGCGCGCAGGCGGAAUAGCAAGUCGGAGGUGAAAGCCCGGGGCUCAACCCCGGAGGGUCUUUCGAAACUGCUAAUCUAGAGAGGGUCAGGGGCCAGCAGAAUUCCUGGUGUAGAGGUGAAAUUCGUAGAUAUCAGGAGGAAUACCGGUGGCGAAAGCGGCUGGCUGGGACCACUCUGACGCUGAGGCGCGAAAGCGUGGGGAGCAAACAGGAUUAGAUACCCUGGUAGUCCACGCCGUAAACGAUGAGCACUGGAUGUCUGGAGAGUUCGACCUCUUUGGGUGUCUCAGCUAACGCAUUAAGUGCUCCGCCUGGGGAGUACGGU